GUCAAAGUCGGUGCAGUUGAUGCAGAU
rnacentral:piRNA from 1 species